UCCCAUAUAGUGUAGUGGUUUAGCAUACCAGAUUUUCAAUCUACUCCUUGAACGUUGAAAACUUCUGGCGACCCGGGUUCGAACCCCGGUAUGGGAA